rnacentral:snoRNA from 1 species
AGCCUUUGUGUUGCCCAUUCACUUUUGGAAACUAGCAAUGAGGUGUCAAAAAAAGGCAUACAUAAAUGUCUUGUAGUCUUUUUCUACCCUUAAAUUUGGUAUAUUUGGGGUAGGACCUGCAUAAGCAACAGUU